UGUGCCAGUCACUUCACUGGUAGCCCGUCCACCACAGAAUACAGUUCAAACUUCUCACCCACAAAGCUCUCCACAGUGCUGCACCUCCAUACAUCUCCUCCCUCAUUUCCGUCUACAACCCUACUCAUGCUCUCUACAGUGCUGCACCU